rnacentral:lncRNA from 1 species
CACGCGUUUAACACCACGAAGGCGCCGCCAUUCUUCAUAGUUGUCUACCUCACUUAUGAACAUAUUAACAACAUUAUUCAAUGAGCUUCAACUGUUUUUUUUUGUUUAGGAUCUAACCGUUCUCACACACCUCAGCGUGGAGUUUGUAAUCCAUCACAUUUUGGGAGCAGAAAAGGUUGGGCAUCCUCAUCCAGUGAGUCAAUGAUCAGUUGCAUUCUUCAUAGUUGUCAAUUCUCCUACCUCACUUAUUAACAUUAUUGCAGGAGAAAAAAAAUAUUUCAAUGAGCUUCAACAGUUUUUUUUUAAUAAUUUUUCUUCAGGAUCUAAGCGUUCUCGCACACCUCAGCGUGGAGUUCCAAAUCCAGCACAGUCCGGGAGCAGAAAAGGUCGGGCAUCCUCAUCCAGAUUUAGUCGUUCUCGCACACCUCAGCGUGGAGUUCCAAAUCCAGCACAGUCCGGGAGCAGAAAAGGUCAGGCAUCCUCAUCCAGCUUUUCACCAACAAUCUAAUGGCUGGUUUCAACAUGAAGGGGCAGGGUCGCAGUGAGAAAAAAGCCUUCCAGGAUACAGUUUUUUACUCUUUGGUAAAAGGUAACUGCAUUUUUCAUGUUUAUACAGGUGCUUCUCAAAUUAGAAUAUUGAAAAAAGUCAAUUCAUUUUAGGAACUUAACAGGUGAGACCAAUGUAUUAGACUCAUUACAUGCAAAGUGAGACAUUUCAAGCCUUUAUUUGUUAUACAUUUGAUUAUGGCUUACAGCUUAUGAAACCCACAAAUCCAAAAUCUUGCAAAUUCAGAAUAUUACAUCAAAUCGAUAAAGGAAUUUUAAAUACAGAAAUGUUGGCUCUCUGAAAAGUAUAAUCAUGCAUACUCUGUACUUGUUUUUUUUUAACAGAAUUUAUUUGUAUUUUUUAGAACAAAACUGUGUGGUCCAAUAAAUGCAGUGCCAAAUUUAAUACCAUCUAUAUUAGAGCACUGGGCAUUUCAAAUAUUUUUGAAAUCAUGCUUAUUUUCUAAACAAGUAUUUAUUUCCAGUUUAAUUUUCUGAUUUCCCAUGGGCCCCCCCUCACUGGUUCUUUGUCCUCCAUUUAUAAAAUCCUGGAAUUGCCCUGCUGAGUACAUAUGCAUGAUUAUACUUUUCAGAGGGCCAACAUUUCUGUAUUUACAAUCUUUUUUUUUUUAUUGAUUUUGUAAUCUAAUUUUCUGAGAUUUUGAAAUUGAGAUUUUGAAAUUGGCUUGUAAGCCAUAAUCAUCAAAAUUAUAACAAAGCCUUGAAAUAUC